rnacentral:tRNA from 1 species
GGAUAGCUCAGUCAGUAGAGCAUGGAACUCUUAAUCUUAGGAUCAUGGGUUUGAGCCUCAUGUUGGGCA